rnacentral:lncRNA from 1 species
UUUUUUUUUAAACAUUCAUUUAAUAUGCAAUACCUAAUUACUUGUCCACUUUUGAAUUGACACACCUAUUAAGAAAUUAAUUAUUGACAUAAUGAGUUUAUCAUUUUAUCCCUAUUAAUUAUGAAGUGGAUGGAUUAAAAAUUAGAUUUUUAAGAAAUUGUACAUUUUUCAAAGUAAUUAAUUGAGGGUAUAAUAGGUAAAUUGUUUUUGGCCUUUCUUGAUUUGUCAAAAUGGACAAGUAAUUAGGGACAACUAUAAAAUAAAAAAUAAAUAAAUAAUUAGGGACAAAUGUAAUAUUUUAUUAUAAUUAGAAAUAAUAUAAUUUUAAAAUUAUAAAUGUAAUAAAUUUUCAAUUACACCUCACAAAUUUUAAUAUAUUUUUUCUUAAAUAUCUAUCAAGUCAAAUAAUGUCACAUGAAAUAGCACGGAGGGGUGAUAAACAUUUUCAUUUUGAUUUCCAAGGGUUGAUUAUUUCUAGAAUUUUCUUGGACAGACUUUACUUGUGUGUACAACUUAUGUGAUGACACAUGUUGUUACUUUCCUUCCCCAAUGAAACAAAACUCCCUUUUCCCCUAGAAAUACUGAUCAAUACAUACACUACUAUACAUUCAAGUCUAUCUCUUUUUUUUCCUACUCACCUCUCUGUAUUUUUGUUUGAAACAGCAACAAGAAGAUACCCUUUUUGGGCUUUUCCUUCUUUGUUUUGUGUAUAUAUAGAGGUAGGAGUUUGUGGGGGUGUAAAAAGAUUACAACUUUGAGUAGUGCCAAAUGUUAGGGGUAGAAGAUUUGAGCUUGGACAAGCUGUUUGUGAACAAUAGUAGCAGAGGUGGGGUUUGUAAAAUGGGGGGUGGGGUGAUGAUGAUGGGAGAGUGGAAGGAUAUACCUAUGGAGUUGUUGUUGAGGAUUGCUUCACUUGUGGAUGAUCGGACGGUGAUUGUGGCUUCUGGUGUUUGUAGUGGAUGGAGAGAUGCAAUUUCUUGGGGACUCACUCGUCUUUCCCUUUCUUGGUAUGACUGACUUUUCUUGUUUCUUGAUUUUGAUAAAAUUUUAAGGUUUAUUUUGAUUGUGUGGUUUUGCUUGAUGUGAUUGAUGAAGGGUAGUUCUUGUUCUUCAUUUGUUUGAUUGUAAAUGGUCAGGGGAGUCAAGUCAGCAAAAGACUGAAUUUUUGUGUUCUAGAAUAGUUGAAGGAAAUAGGAAAAAUCUACAAGUUUUUAUGUGUUGGACUAUUUUGGUCCUAUUUACCUUGAUUAAUCUAUUUGAGAUGUCAUGUAUGAUUGAUCAACUGGAGGAACACACAUGAGGUUUUCAUUGUUUACUUUCUUGGAGGAAGGGUUUGUAAAUGUUGUUGAAUAAAGCUUUGAGUUUGGAACUAAGGUUAGAUGUUAAAAGGGGAAUCAUAGUAGCUCAGUGGAUUGACUACCUGAACUUUUUUAUCUCGUUGGUGAGGGUAUGAGUCCCCACCUUGUAACCCCUUCUCCUUUACCCUACCCCGGUUUUGUUCUUUUGGAAAAGGUUAGAUUUUUUAUGUUAAAAGGGGUUGACUGAAGAUUUUUUCCAAUUUGGAUUUGUGAGUGCCAAGACUUGGAUGAGCAAAGCUAAGUUGAAAAGCUUGCCUUGCACUGGCAUCAAGGGAUUUGGGGGAAAUGAGGAGAUUAGAGAGAUUAGGAUAGUGAUUCAACAGCCUUAAUCCCAUAGGUCUUAUCACAUGUGUUUGUAUCUGAGAUGCCCUAAAUAUGAAAUAUGGUCAUAGCAUAAUGGUUAUUGUUCUGCUUUGUGGCUAAAUUUUACCCUUUUUUCUAUGUGCUUCAUCCUGGACAUCUGGAAGUUAAUAUCUAUGUUUUAGUGCUCAGAAGCAUUGGACCUGAGAAGAUAUAACUUGCAUAUGAUUGUGCAUUUGCCUUUAUUUUAUAUUUUUCCUUUACUUUUUGAGGACUUAUUCACAUGUUGGUUCUUGCUUGCAUUUUCUGGAUUUGUAGUGUUGGUUUUUCACCCUCUCCUGCUAUUAGAAUUUGAUUGUAUUUCCCUAUCUUGCUGGUAUUAGUAAUCUGAGAGUUGAUAUUCUAUGGAAUUGAGUACAUAGAUAUUUGUGAGUUAUCUUUCCCUUGUUGAUUUGUGGUGUUAUAUCGGUUUCUAAGCUUUUUUGUCCCCUCAGGUGCAAGAGGAAUAUGAACAAUUUAGUGCUGACACUUGCCCCCAAGUUCACGAAGCUGCAGGUUCUAACUCUUAGACAAGAUUUACCACAACUUGAGGAUGUUGGUGUCGAGACAAUUGCCAAUCACUGUCAUGAAUUGCAAGACCUUGAUCUUAGCAAGAGUUUUAAGCUAACUGAUCGUUCCCUUUAUGCUUUAGCUCACGGCUGUCCAAACCUCACAAAGCUGAAUAUCAGUGGGUGUUCUGCUUUCAGUGAUAGCGCUGUUGCAUACCUAGCUGAGCAUUGCCGAAACCUAAGAGUCUUAAACCUUUGUGGUUGUGUUAAAGCUGCAACUGAUAAGGCAUUGAAGGUAUAUGUCUUGUCCUCUCAAAUGACCUGUAGGAGUACUAAACCGUUGUUUCUUCGAACUUAUAUGACUCAUAUUACUCCUUGCAGGCUAUUGGUUACUACUGUAACCGACUGCAGACUGUAAAUCUUGGUUGGUGUGAUAAAGUUGGUGAUGAAGGUGUAAUGAGUUUGGCUUAUGGGUGUCCUGAUCUCAGAGCCCUCGAUCUGUGUGGCUGUGUCCUUAUAACAGGUAAAACAUGUAUCUGGUUAGGUUUUGUAUUUAAUGUCUUCCCUUAGCAGUGGUAUGUUUACUACCAAAGAGUCUUAAAACUGACUCGGAUUUGCCAUGCUUAUUAGGGCAUAAGUUGUAUUCUAGAAAUUUUAUGCAAAAAAAAUCUUACCAAAGAAGACGAACUUAUUUAUUUCCUAUUAGUAACUAACUAGAAGGAGAUAUUCAUGCAAGAUAUUUUCUUCUAGGAAAUGAAAAGUGGAACAUGAUUUUGAUGUAUACGAGGGAUAUGAAGGACCUUACUUUAGAUUUUAUAUCAAAUAAACUCCUAUGGCUAUUUGUGGUGUCUGAAAUGAAUGAUGAAAUGCAUAUUAGACGGUAGAACUGAGCUUUUUUUCUUUGGGGGAGUGUCCAAAUUUAUGAAGUCUGCCUCAGCCGACUGAUUAUUAGAUGUCUCCUAUAUUUCUCUGUGUGGAUGCUUUUGUUAUGAAAUUUUAUGAUCAUUGCUCUCGACCUGUUAGAGCAAUGGCUACAAGAUAGCAGUGUUCUAAGUAGUUUAGAGGUCUGUGUUUCCUCUCGUUGGCUUGUCGAGUGUACUCACACCUAUGUUCUACUGCCUACUUCUUGAUGGGCUAUUAGUGUUUCCUUUUUCUACUGAAGUUUGAGAUAAAGUUGCUGAUGUCUCCAACUGGAUUCAUUUUUCUUGGUUUAGUCAUCCAUUUAACAUAGCUAUUAUCUAAUGCCUGCAGAUGAGACUGUGAUUGCUUUGGCAAACAAUUGCACUCACUUGAGAUCCCUCGGCCUAUACUUCUGUCAGUACAUCACAGAUAGGGCAAUGUACUCUCUAGCUCAGAGUCGGGUCAAGAACAAGCACGAGAUGUGGGCAUCUAUGAAGAAGCACAGGUACGAGGACGAAGGGCUUAUGAAUCUAAACAUCAGCCAAUGCACUGCUCUCACACCUCCCGCCGUUCAAGCAGUAUGCGAAGCAUUUCCUGCUCUGCACACAUGCCCUGAGCGACAUUCCCUCAUCAUUAGCGGAUGCCUGAACUUAACAUCAGUGCACUGCGCCUGCUCUGUCCAAGCUCACCGUGCGCGUGUUCUCCAUCCAGCUCACUGAGUGUUCUAUGGAGGAGAAGUUGCCAAGUUUUUUUUUUUUGAGAAUGGUAAAGAGAAAAGUUGCCAAGUUUCGAAGCCGUCAUAGAGGGAGAGAAGAAAAAUAGGGUGAGAAGGUUGAAACGCCCUUGUACAUAUUUGUUUGUGAAAAAACUAUGCUGGACAAUCUAGGCUGUUUAAGCCAAACAGGUUCUGUUUGUUUAAUCUGUUGGACUGAGAACUUGUUGGUUUAUGUCAAAACUCUUAAAGACUCCUUUCAUGUGUUUUGACUAUUUGGUGAAAGACAUUUAAUUUCCUGUUUCAUAUUUCACUCCUAAAAUAUGGAGAAAUAACUUUUUAAGUGGAGAAAUUCUAUAAAAGCUUUUCACUGCUUCUCUAGGUUAAUCUAUAUGUUGGAAAAACUUGUUUGCUUUCUUAAAAAAAUUAAUACAGGGGAUGCAAAAUCAACCUAUAAAAUUAAGUUUGGGUAGGUUAAUUUGUUUAUUUUAUUAAUUUAGUUCAUUUCAGUAUGUUUGAUUUUGUCAGUUUAAAAAUUGAGUUAUUAUGCAUUCCAAAUUAAUUAAAGUGUUUUUUUUAUUAGGUAUUUAAAUAAAUUAUAAGAAAAUAAAUGAAACAAAUUGAAAUUUUAACAAGAACUGAACGAAAAGAAUGAAAAGAAAAAUAUUACCAGCUUCUAGUUUUUUGACAUAAAGGAAAUACCAAGAAUCAACAAAAGGGGUCAAGUUAUUAUGUUAAAGUUUUAUUUCAUUCAAGUUUAAGUAACUUUUUAUUUAUUUAUUUAUUUCUGUCUAUUCUUUGAUCAAUUAAGAUUUAGUUCACUCGGUUCAUUGUAUUAGGUUUCCCGAUUGACGUAAGGUUUUUUUCCAAGCAUUAUUAAUACAGUUGGAGUUUAAGUUGUAUGUACUGAUUGACCUAAGGUUUUUUCCCAACACGUUAUUAAUAUAGUUUAACUUGUGAUUCUACUUCUAUUUUUAUCAGGUUACAAUUAGCUAAUUAGUGAUAUUUGUGUAAAUAUUUUUCGGUAGUGACGUAAGUGGGAAAAAGGAUAUUAUUUGCAGAAAUUACAGUAAUCAGAUAGGUGAUGAAAUAAAAAAGAAAAAAGAAAAAAAAAGAUAGGUGAUGAAAUAGACAUGUGAACAUAAAGUUCUUAAAUUGGUAGUAUUACUUUUUAGCAAAUGAAAGUAAUCUAAAAUUAGUAAAUAAUAGCUAUUGCUUAGUAGAACUUUGUCUCUAAUUUUAGUGACAUUUUCCUUCUUAUGGCAGUUUUACUAAAAUUAUGGAAUUAUUGUUUUUGCGUAAUCUAAUAAACACAAUCAGAAAUAAGAUAAUCCAACAAACUUCUAUAAUUGUAGAAAUAAUGAUAGAUAUGAUCUACUUGACUGAAAAAACAAAGAACCAAAAAAAAAAAAAACUUUUGGAGGGAAUUAAAAAUAUAUUUUUCAUACUUUUUACGUAUUAUUUUAAGAUUUAUUAUGUGUAAAAUAAAGAUUCCUAGUGAAAAGGACAUGAAAUUAAAAAUAAAUUUGUAUAAUCAUUUAAAACAAACAUAGUAUUUCAUUACAUGUUUUUCCAAUUACAAAACAAGCUGCACAAAUAUUAAUUGGCUUACGCCUUUUUGAGUUUUCUUUUCAAUUAUCCGUAUUGCAUAAACAUUCAUAAGUGGGAUUGAUUAAUUCGAAGCUAGCUUACGGAAUCGAAGCGAAGGAAUUAGUUCAUCCAUAUUAUUUGCCUUUGUAUACAAUCUCUUCAUCAUCCACAUCGAAUGCUGGAUUACACAAACAUCUAAAGAGUCUACCAAUUCCCUACAAUAUCACAAACCAAAAAAAUAAUUAGUAUUUAUGUAUUAAAAUCUCAUCGUCAACUUUUAGUGUAGUGUCUGAGAUUUGAAUUUGAAACAUUAAGAUGAAUUUUGAAUUCCCUAGAUUGCUGAGUCAACCUCUAAUCUUGUAUUCAGGGGAAUAAAAACAUUAUCUUAACUUUAUGUCUCGAAAUAUCAUUGGUUUCAAUAGAUAGUAUAUAGUAAGUAAAAGAGUAAAUGGAAGCAAAAAGAGAACCUGUGUGAGUAGAGGAGUUCUAUAAUUUAGUGUUCUUAAUGAGUCUUCAUCAUCAUCACUGCUAUCUGAACUAGAUUCAUCAGCAUUAAUAUCGCCUAUUGUCUUCUUUUUCGACGUUCCAACACACUUCUCCCUCUAUAGAAUAAAAAGGAAAAAAAUGCAAAUGUUACAAUGAAUUAGUAUAGUAGCUCAAUAACCAACAAGACAGACUUGUGUUUAGAAGGGAUAUGAUAAGUACAUAUCACAAGUUAUGCUUAAACCUUACCUCAAAUACUUUUCCCAAAAUCUUUAAAGCCAUCGCACGUUUCUUGAGUUCUUCCUUCUUCACAUUGCCUUCUUGUAGUACCUGAAAGAUUACUCAGAAGUAACUUAAAGGUCUCUUUCAAGAAUAAAGCCCGUUUCAACGUAGCAACAUUUGAUCCAAGGCUUACCAAUUGGCAAACAUGUAAAAGAGUCACUUCAAUGUCUACGACAUUUAGUUUCCACAAUGAAUUCAUUAAUGUUUCUCUGUUUAAUCUUAGAUGUGAUUCAACAUCGUUUUCAGGGCCACUACCAUCCAUUUUAAACUGGCGACGAACAUCUUCUUGAAGUUGUAGCAGUUGAAAAGCACCUAUAAAACAUUAUAGUCCACUGCAUCAAAGAUACAGACAGAUAUAUGACAAGCAGGGGAGUAUUGUAUCUUGAGUGAGAUAAUGUAAGUUUACCUUUUGCUGCUGUUAGCUGUGACUUCCAGAAAUGACCUUUGUUGCGAACCCACUCGGCCAUGAAUGGAACUCCCAAGUAAAUUGCUUUCUUUCCAAGCUCUUGUGCUGCCUGUCUUGUGUAUAUGUAUCCAAUAGUUUGAAGAAUCUCAGCUCCAAAUGCUGUUAACAGAAAUGUCAGGUUCUAAUUAAGAUUUUUUUCUUGAUUUAGCUCUCUUCUAAGGUCACAAUAGAUUUCACUGUGCUUAUUCAAUGCUGUCAUUUUAACACUUGUCAUGGUAAAUUCUGUAAAACUUACAGCAAUCACUAGAUGAAGCACAAGAGUAGUGAGCUGACCUGCUUGUGAAAGAUGUUCUGCUUCAGAUUCUACACGACGUAUAAAUCCCAUUCUGUCACCACGAACGUAUUGUUGAAGAAAAUCUUUGAGUAUUCUAGCAAGCUUUUCUUCCCUUUCCUUUUGGACACCCUUCAUAACAUAGUUCUAUUAUAACAAAGCUAUGUUCUUUUUUCUCUUGUAACAAACAGCCAAAAAAGUGGAGACACAUAUAAUUUGAAUGUUAAUGAACUUCAUGACAUACUUGCCUUGAGUCUAUCAUGGAGCUUUUCAGGGUUGUCGUUUUCGCUAACUAAUUCAGAGGAAGCCAUUGAUGCAACAGAUAGAUGCCCGAUGUAGUCUUCAAAAAGUUCGCUCCCAAAGAGGAGUGCAAACACAGCAGUUGGAUCAAGCAUAGUUUCCCUACAAAGAGAACAUCAAAAUUAGUAUUGAUGGUAAUAGAAAAAACAUCUUUUUACAUAGAAAUUUGUGAAUUAGCAAACUACUUGCAUUUAUCAUCUUAAGGGGUCGUUUGGUUGCUGGCUAGGAAGAGAGUUAUUCAUGUUUUAAAACUAACAAAAUUAAUACCAUGUAUUUGGCACUCUGCACACCAAAUAUGGUGUUUGAUUAUCGUUUUACAAUCCCACAUAAAUAAAGCAUGUAUACAUUUUGAGUCAAUUUAUGUACUAUUAUAUGCAGAGUAGAAGAUGGAAUAACUAAACCUAGCAUAACUAAUCUUUGCAUUAUUAAUACCUGCAUAACUCUAACCAACAACCAAACGACCCCAUAAAAUUCAGAAGAAGCAAUUCUAGAAAGAUUACCUGGAGACACAUGACUUUCCAUUUUGAUCAUAUACAUUUCUCUGUACUGGAUCACUCAAAACCUGAUAUGCCUCUCCUAAUUCCUGUUUUUAACAAUUUAAAAACAUUAAAAAAAAAAACAGAUAAUUUUUUGCCUAAAUUUUACAGAAAAGUGAACAUAAAAUAAGCAACAAGCAAUGUGCUUGCCUGAAAUUUUUGUGCAGCAAGAGGAUCAUCUGGAUUUUUAUCAGGGUGAACUUGCCUGGCCUGCACCACAAGAUGAAAAAACAGAUUUCCAACAUCAUUUAACAAAUCAGAAAGGAUAAGACAUUUUCCAUUACCAUUUGUACUUCAAAUCAAAAUGAAAGUUGAUGAAACAAAUCUUCAUUUCCAAAACAAACAUCCCAAGAAUCAUACUACUUGGAUCCAUUUAUCAAAUUCUAUAAGUUUAAACAAAUGAAACUUAAACAAUACUACUCUCCCUAUCUUAAUUUAUGUAGUAAAGUUAAAGUUUCGAGAGUCAGCCAAAUUUUCUUUUUGACUAGAAUUUCUUGUUACCUAUCAUGAUUUACCGUGCUUUUUACAGUGUUUUCAAAUAUAUACAUUUUAUAUCAAAAAACAUAAAAUUUUUGUGUCCAGAUUCACACCAUCAAAUUUUAGAAGUUUGAAUCUAGAAAUUCCAACUAAUGCCAGGUAAAUUAGAUCAAUUCCAACACUCUAAAAAACUACACAAAAUUCAAACAUAGAAAGUAAAAAAACAAAACAAAAGAAAGAAAUUCAAAAACCUUGAGAUAAUAGGCCUUGCGAAUUUCCUCUUCAGAUGCUAAAGGACUUAAACCAAGAACAUCAUAAUACUCUGUCUCUUUCACCAUUUUCUUUUCUUUUUCCAAAAUCCCAAUUAACAAAAAAACUACUCUUUUACCUCCUCCAAUACUCUAAUCACCUUUUUUACGCGGUUCUAAAAUUUUGAUGCAAGAGCGGAAAACCACUUGACAGUAAGUAAAGGAAACAAACCAAAUGAAAAAAAAAAAACUCUGAAAAUUGUAUGAUCAAGAAAACUUGCAAGGACAAAGAAGAAAGAGGAGGGGGUGGGUGGGGUGUUUUAGAGGGGGUGUGGGGUAUGAUGAAAAGAAUGUCACAGAAUAAGAGAGUGCCCCCACGAGACAAAGCUGCCUUUCCAGUUCUGAUCAACGAAUUAAUUAAGGCUUUUCGCGGGAGAAAAACACUAUUUUAACUGUCACUUUGUGCCUUUCAUCAUUUUAUCAACUACUCUUUUCAAACUUCUACUUUUUUGCUUCAUGGGCUCUGGGCUUUUUUCUCUUCUUUAAUGGGCUUUAUUUUUUUUCUGGGGGCCCAUUUUCUUGGUGGUGUCUUGGACCUACCUUAUCCAAUUGUGUAGUCACUCACUUGAAACAAUAAUUGUGGACCAAAAUAUAGAUAUAGAUGCAGAGCACUUAAAAUCUGUUGCUUGUCGAUACUCUAAAAAUAGUGUAUUUUUGGAGAAUCUGACAUGAGUGAAUGCACAACUUAGCUUAAAAUGUCUUAGUCCAAAAGGAAUGUCCCUUGAUACCAUAAACAAAAAAUACCAUGUCUGCUUUUUAUUCAAUAAUAAUAAUACAAAGAUGACUGAUCCAAACAAUUUUAAGCUCAAACACAAUGUUAUAAGGUAAGAUAAGAACUAAUGUCACAAUAUUACAGGUAAAUCGUUUUUUUUCUUCCUGUUUUUCAAUUUUUAUCACUAUAAUAUUUUCUAUUCCAAAUCUUUAAGAUCCUCAUCCAUUGGUAUGGUAUAGAAGAAGUGUUCAAUUUGCUCGACUGCAUUAUCCUCGCCCUGUGUCUUGUUUCCUCUCUUUAUUGGAGCUAGGCUCUCCUUGUAAUUGAAAACCCAACAGCCAGCAAUGUUAAGGUCCAGCUGAAAUCCAAGAUCUGUAACUUGUCUUGUUGUAGGGUCAUAUAGCACCAGCUGUGAAGUUUCUGUGAUCUCAAAAACCAUGUUAUCGUUAUCCCAGAUGUUGCGAGGCCAAUGAGCAUCUAUAUGAGGUUGUACAGUUAGAACUUUGGACCAAAUUCCCUCUUGUUCAUACCCACACAUCAUAUAUGGAUGUCAUAGGUUUGCCAGGGUCACCGGUUAAUAAAGCAAGUGAGUUGCCACGCAAUGUAAGCGUCCCCCAAUGUUCACUUGGAAUAUCUGGGACUUGCAUCUCCCUAAACUGUUCGCUGCCCAUGUCAAAAGAGCGAAUCGUGUAGAUCUCAUCAAGGCCCCUAGAAAGCCAAUAAUAAACCCCGUUGAGAUAAGUGGCAUCAAGGGGUGCAGAUAAGGUAGAACUGGAAGGGAAUUCAGGAGUUAGGUGUUUCCAUGAGUUGUUGCAUGAGGAAUAAACACAGGCAUAGACACGAGGACAAACACCUUGUCCCGGUUCAUCCCAGAAUACUCGAAUCCAUACAACCUUAUAAUCUUGAGUCAACAGGUCAAAUCCCAAUCCGAACUGAUGAUCAUGGUCCGAGAAAAAGUACUCAAUCUCAAAAGGCGCAGGCGGCAGAGACCUGAACUCUCUGGUGGCAGGAUUCCACAAACCCAAGCAGACAUUGUCUCCAUAAAACUUCUUCUGCACUAAGAAUAAGCCAUCAACUGGACCAGCAACACACGUGAAAUCAGCGACCCUCGGAAGCUGAAGGAGAGUUUUUUGUUCAGGGGUCACACCUGGAACAAUUUCUUCAGGGAGCAAGGAGAAUACAACAGACCUUACGAUGGCGUCUACUUCACGUGCUACUUUCAAGUUGCAAACAAGGAGACGGGCACGAUUGUUCUUGUGAUGAAAAUGUUUUUCUAUGAAACUCGGACUUUUGAUGAGAGCAUACCAGUGCUUGCACACACAUUUGAAAAGCAAGAGUGAUUCCACUGGCAAUCUCAAUAGAAUAUCAACUACUAGAUCUUCUGGUAAAGGACAGCGACCAUCCAUACUGGUGGAAAUAUAAGUAGAAUGAGGCAACUUACAAACAUAUUGAAAGAGAGCAGAUCUAGAAAACAUGCAUUAAUAGAACACACAGUGCAACAAAAAAGAUCAAGUAGUAGCAUUACCAUGUGAAGCAAAAAAGGGGAAGUUACAAAUUUGACCACUCAGCCACAAAUAUUUACAUCCGCAAGCCAUUACACAUAUAUUAUGGGUAUACAUAUUUUUAAAAAUAUUUUGACAAAUCUUCUUGUAGAUCAAUUUUGGAGAAAAGAUCCAAAAUAGUUCCUUAUGUUUGGCUUCAGACUCAAGGUCAUCCCUUCCCUUUCUUUUAUAUGGUGCACUAAUAGUCCUUUAAGUUUCAAGUAUUAGUGCACUUUUAAUCUCUUCAUUAACAUCCAUUUACUCAUUAACGUUUUGAUCCUUUACACAUCCAUUUAUGGCCUCCGCUGUAUACGUUCUGGUAUAACACAAAUUAAUUCUUAGAUUUAUCUUAGCAGUUGCAGAUGAGUCUUCAUUUGUACUUGUUUUAUUUUUUGGCUCUGCAUCUUUCAUUGUUUGGUGUGCACCAUUCAAGAUUUGCUAAUUCUUUAACUUUCUCCUCUAUUUUCCAUACGCAAUUAAUAAGCUGACUAUAAGUCUUUGGGUUUUCCUGAAUAAAAGCUGACUAUAUAUCUGAAACAUAACCAAAGAAUAAAAUAAAAACAAGAAAAAAGGAAAAAUAUAAUACAUACUUAGUCUUCGUGUAUCAAUAUCUCAAAUUAGCAUCGGAUAAAAGUGCACUAAUACUUAAAACUUUGGAGGACUAUUAGUGCACCAAUUGAUGAUUUCGAAUCUAAAGCCAAAAAUAAAGGACUAUCUUGUAUUUUUUCUUUCGAUUUGGGCUGAUAUGGUUUGGACGGAUCAAUAAUCAGCCAAAUAGAGUCAAUAAGAGGAGACUAGUAAAGAAGUAGUCAUGCGGUUUUCUAGUCUUUUCAUUAACUAGUCAAUAAUUAUUUUUAAAGCUACAUAUCAAGUUAGCAUAUAGAGCAAUUUUGCAGGUAAUUUAAGGAUUAAGGAGCAUGAAACAGUAAUUACCCUUUUCUACUAAUAUCAAUCUACAAAUCCUUGGAAAUGGAACAAUUUUAACUUGCCCAAUAUUGAAAUGUAAAAGAUGGAAAGAAAUAAAAAGAAUUAGCAUAAACAGAAACAAUGACAGCAAAACCCUAUAUCCAUCCCCAAAUAGCACAAAUUCAGAUUCAGAUUCAGAUUCAAAUUCAAAAAAAUAAUCAGAAAUCUAACCUUAUAAGCUGAUGAAGAAGAAGUGCCGCAAUUACGACAAGGUAAAAAUGGAAAAAGAGAUUGGAUUGAUUGAGUGGUGUUGUAGAAAUACCUCCAACAGUUGACUACUUCCUCACUUUCCUACACUUCUUUUGUCAUUUUAGUUUAUAUAACUCCCCUUAAUUCCUUUUAUCCAAGUUUUUAAUACCAAGGGAUAUGAUGGAGUAAUAAGUACUUAUUCAUUGUUAAUUAGAGGUCUUGGAUUUGAAUCUUUUGGCUAUGAAGUCAUCCGUGUUAGGGAGCACUUUACCCAUAAUGUGAGAUUUUUCGACUGGGCUCUAAUAUGGAUACCGAACAUUGAGCGAUUUUUCUUUUUUUACCUUAGUGGUCAUUUGGUAGGUGGAUAAAGCUACAUCUAAUACAUGAAUCACUACAAGAAAAGUGCUGAUUACCUGGGAAUUAUUGUAGAGAAUAUAUGAUAACCCUAAUGGGUGGAGGGAGGACCAAUUUAUAGAGGUUAUGAUUUAAUCUGGUAUAUCCAUCAAGUAACCAAUGUACGGACGAGAUCUAUUCCUUAUUAAAUAUUAUUUAUGGUAUUACUUGCGUUACUAGUAAACUUGAGCCAUAAGUAAGAAAUAAUUAAUAAUAAUUAAUAAUAAUUCUUACACUUCGGGGUGCCUUCGCCAUAGUUCAAGUCUGGAGUCGGCCAUUUCAGUUCUUGAAAGCUUUUAAUCUAGCUAGUGUUAUUCAUAGUACUUCCGUGUACUUAUCGACCUUAUGUGAGUCCAAACUCGUUUGAGUUAUACAUUUACUUUCUAAUUGUGCACGAGUAUACAUACUUUCUAGGCUUAUAGAGGUCCAGUUAGGUUAUAGAUUAUUGCUUUACUUUACUACUUCGUUCUUUUCAGACUCGUGAGCUAUAUAGUUAGACUUUCCGUUAUUGCUUUGUUCAUUUGACCUCUAAUUACUGUUACUUUCAUAUUCUUCAUAUUGUUUUUACUUUCCAAGUUCAGUUGACCUAUGAUGCCUACUGGACACCUGUUGUUCUGAUAUUCAUGCUACACUCCACAUCUGUUUUCUUGAUGUGGAUUUGAGCGCCAGCCGACAACGGUGAUUGGAGCCUAAGUAAUGCGGAGAUCUUCUGAGAUGAAUGGUGAGCUAAUGGCGUCCUAGUUCGACUUAUCUCCAUAUGUAUAUAAUUUUUUACAUGUCUUUUGUAUUCGAGACAAAUUUAUUAAGUUAGUCAAUAGCAUAGGCUCGAAACUAUGACUAGAACAUUGAGUGCAUGACAUGCACAUCUUACUCCUUACUUUCCUUAUUCGUGCCUGUUUUUUUCAUACUUUCUAACUUUCACUAGUACAUUAUCCCUUGUUAAGGAAAAUUAUGUAAACAAAAUAGUAAAUGGCCUGAUCCACUUAAGAGUGAGGGCUAGUUCAUUGAUUGAUACAGCUAAAUCACAUUAAAUAAUAAAUACGGAGGAGGGCCUAAAAUACCCUUCAAGUAUAGGUAAUGGAACAAAAAUACCCUCUUCCACCUUUAGGCUCCAAAAUACCCUUCCAUCCAUCUAUAUGGACCUAUAUUACCCUUUCACUUAACAGAUUCUUUAAGACUAAUAAUUAAUCUUUUCAUUAAUGAUGUGACAGUCUUUAAUUGGUUGAAAUUGGAAUUAACCAAAAUAAGAAUUUCUCUUAAUUAAACCCAGAUCCAACUAAAUUCCACCCGACUCACUUAAAAUUCUAUUGACCCAUAUCUUAAAUAAUCAAACUUCAAUCAACAACUUGCUCCAGUUAUUUUUAAUCCCAGUCAAAAAAGAGGUACAUUAGACCAUAAACAACAUGAAACUUCCGAAAAUUCCCUGGAAACAUUCCAAGAAGGAAGAAGUGAAAUACAAGAUCAAGUGCCACUAUAAUCAUAUACCAAUAUACACCAUAUUUUGAAACACUAUGAAAAGUCCAGCAAAUCUCCAAUCUCUGGGAAACAUAAACUCAAAGCGGUAAAAUUUCUCAAAAUCCGAAACCCUAGAGUUCAAAAAUUAUUUCACUUCUUUCUUUUUUGCGAUUCAUAUAAAGCACCGCACGCAAAAAGCAAAACCAACAUAAUUUUGGGAAAUUCUCAAAGCAGAAUCAUGGAAUAGAAUAUAAAAAAAAAAUAAAAAAUUUAGCCAUAGCAAGAGAUUAUAUACUUGAUGAAGAAAAGCGAUAGAUAUCGCUUUUCUUCAUCUGCAAAUUUUACGAGAAAAUUAUAUGGAGAGAAAUUCAGUGUACAGAGAAAAAAAAGGAAACUCACCGCUACACACUCGAUUCUUCUUGUUUUUUUUUAAAGAUAUGGGUCAGUAAAAUUUUACGUGGGUUGGGUAGAGUUUAGUUGGAUCCGGGUUUGAUUUGGAGAAAUUAUUGUUUUUGCUUAAUCUAAAUUCCAGCCAAUUAAAGAUUGUCACAUCAUUAAUGAAAAGAUUAAUUAUUACUCAUAAAAAAUCUGUUAAGUGAAAGGGUAAUAUAGGUCCAUAUAGAUGGAUGAAAGGGUAUUUUUGAGCCCAAAGGUGGAUGGAGGGUAUUUUUGUUCCAUUCCCUAUACUUGAAGGGUAUGUUAGGCCCUUCUCCGUAAUAUAUAUUACAUUUUUGAACUGUUAAACUAGAAACAAGAUUUAGGAUUUUUCAAGUGGACCAAAAUACAGAUAUUGAUGCCGAGUACUUAAAGUCUGUUGCUUGCCGAUACUCUAAAAGUAGUAGUGUAUUUUUGGAGAAUCUAACAUGAGUGGAGAGUACACGCGCAACUUAGCUUAAAUUGUGUUGGUCCAAAAGGAAUGCCCCUUGAUACCAUAAACAAAAAAUACCAUGUCAGCUUUUUAUUCAAUAAUAGUACAAAGAUGACUGAUCCAAACAAUUUUAAGCUCAAACACAAUGUUAUAAGAAGACAAGAUACGAACUAAUGUCACAAUAUUACAGGUAAAUCGUUUUUUUUUCUUCCUGUUUUUCAAUUAUUAUCAUUAUAGUAUUUUGUAUUCCAAAUCUUAACGAUACUCAUCCAUUGGUAUGGUAUAGAAGAAGUGUUCAAUUUGCUCGACCUCGCCCUGUGUCUCGUUUCCUCUCUUUAUUGGAGCUAGGCUCUCCUUGUAAUUGAAAACCCAACAGCCAGCAAUGUUAAGGUCCAGGUGAAAUCCAAGAUCUGUAACUUGUCUUGUUUUAGGGUCAUAUCGCACCAGCUGUGAAGUUUCUGUGAUCUCGAAAACCAUCUUAUCAUUAUCCAAGAUGUUGCGAGGCCAAUGAGCAUCUAUAUGAGGUUGUACAGUUAGAACUUUGGACCAAUUUCUGUCUUGUUUCAUUACCCACACAUCGUAUAUGGAUGUCAUUGGUUUACCAGGGUCUCCGGUUAACAUAGCAAGUGAGCCGCCAUGCAAUGUAAGUGUCCCCCAAUGUUCACUUGGAAUAUCUGGGACUUGCAUCUCCCCAAACUGUUCGCUGCCCAUGUCAAAAGAGCGAAUCGUGUAGAUCUCAUCAAGGCCCCUACAAAGCCAAUAAUAAACCCCGUUGAGAUAAGUGGCGUCAAGGGGUGCAGAUAAGGUAGAACUGGGAGGGAAUUCAGGAGUAAGGUAUUUCCAUGAAUUGUUGCAUGAGGAAUAGACACAGGCAUAGACACGAUUAUUAGCACCUUGUCCCAGUUCAUCCCAGAACACUCGAAUCCAUACAACCUUAUAAUCUAGAGUCAACAGGUCAAAUCCCAAUCCGAACUGAUGAUCAUGGUCCGAGAAAAAGUACUCAAUCACAAAAGGCGCAGGAGGCAGAGACCUGAACUCUCUGGUGGCAGGAUUCCACAAACCCAAGCAGACAUUGUAUCCAUAAAACUUCUUCUGCACUAAGAAUAAGCCAUUAACUGGACCAGCAACACACGUGAAAUCAGUGAUCCGAAGCUGAAGGAGAGUUUUUUGUUCAGGGGUCACACCUGGAACAAUUUCUUCAGGGAGCAAGGAGAAUACAACAGACCUUACGAUGGGGUGUACACGUGCUACUUUCAAGAUGCAAACAAGGAGGCGGGCACAAUUAUUCUUGUGAUGAAAAUGUUUUUCUAUGAAACUCGGACUUUUGAUGAGAGCAUACCAGUGCUUGCACACACAUUUGAAACGCAAGAGUGAUUCCACUGGCAAUCUCAAUAGAAUAUCAACUACUAGAUCUUCUGGUAAAGGACGGCGACCAUCCAUACUGGUGGAAAUAUAAGUAGAAUGAGGCAACUUACAAACAUAUUGAAAUAGAAUAGAUCUAGAAAACAUGCAUUAAUAGAACACACAGUGCAACGAAGAAGAUCAAGCAGCAGCAUUACCAAUGUGAAGCAAAAAAGGGGAAGUUACACAUUUGACCACUCGGCCACAAAUAUUUAUAUCCGCAAGCCAAUACACAUAUUAUGGGUAAACAUAUUUUUAAAAAUAUUUUGACAAAAUUUCUUGUAGAUCAAUUUGGGAGAAAAGAUCCAAAAUAGUUCUUUAUGUUUGGCUUCAGACUCAAAGUCAUCCCUUCCCUUUCUUUUAUAUGGUGCACUAAUAGUCCUUUAAGUUUCAAGUGUUAGUGCACUUCUAGUCUCUUGAUUAACAUCCAUUUACUCAUUAACGUUUUGAUCCUUUACACAUCCAUUUAUGGCCUCCGCUGUAUACAUUCUGGUACAAAACAAAUUAAUUCUUAGAUUUAUCUUAGCAAUUGCAGAUGAGUCUUCAUUUGUACUUCGUUUUAUAUUUUGGCUCUGCAUCUUUCAUUGUUUGGUGUGCAGUAUUCAAGAUUUGCUAAUUCUUUAACUUUCUCCUUUAUUUUCGAUACACAAUUAAUAAGCUGACUAAGUCUUUGGGUUUUUCCUGAAUAAAAGUUUCUUGCGCUUUGCCUAUAUAUCUGGAGCAUAACCAAAGAAUAAAUAAAAACAAGAAAAAAGGAAAAAUAUAAUACAUACUUAGUCUUCGUGUAUCAAUAUCUCAAAUUAGCAUCGGAUAAAGGGUGUGUUCCGUAGAAAAUAGUUUCUAAUCAAAAUUUUUGGAAAAGAUUUUCUUAGGAAAACAAGUUCCAUACGUGACACUUCAAAAUUCAAAUGAAGAAAAUGACUUUCUAAAGGAAGUAGGGAAAACAAGUUUCAUAUGUGACAUUUCAAUUGAGUAUGUCCUCCCACUCUCUAAGACACCACAUAUUCACCUCACUCCCGUAGCUUCCAUACCCACUACCCUACACAUCUACCCCACCUCCGUCCCUCAUAGUAUUGUCUAGAUAAUACAUAAAUGCUUUUAGAAUAAUAUUAAAUUUUUUUUGCUUAUAUACCAAACACAAAAUAUACAUAAGAAUCUCACUUAUUUUCCUAGAAAAUAUUUUUCAAAAAAUAUUUUCCUUGGUACCGUACACACCCAAAGUUCCAAUGUCCUCGGAUAAUAUCAGCCAAAUAGAGUCAAUAAGAGGAGACUAGUAAAGAAGUAGUCAUGUGGUUUUCUAGUCUUUUCAUUAACUAGUCAAUAAUUAUUUUUGAGCUACAAAUCAAAUUAGCAUAUAGAGCAAUUUUGCAGGUAAUUUAAGGAGCAUGAAACAGUAAAUACCCUUUUCUGCUAAUAUCAAUCUACAAAUCCUUGGAAAUGGAACAAUUUUAACUUACCCAAUAUUGAAAUGUAAAAGAUGGAAAGAAGUAAAAAGAAUUAGCAUAAACAGAAACAAUGGCAGCAAAACCCUAUAUCCAUCCCCAAACAGCACAAAUUCAGAUUCAGAUUCAAAUUCAAAAUAAUAAUCAGAAAUCUAACCUUAUAAGCUGAUGAAGAAGAAGUGGCGGACAAGGAAAAAAUGGAAAAAGAGAUAUCGGAUCGAUUGAUUGGUGUUGUAGAAAUACCUCAACAGUUGACUACUUCCUCACACUUCUUUCGUCAUUUUAUUUUACUACUUCUUGGGAACGCGUUUGUUCCUCUCCUUUUUUUUUCUCGCGUGUGUUCCUUAUUAUUAUUAAAUUUUUAUAUACUAAAAAGUUGAGUUAUAAAAUAGAAAAUGCUGAAAUUAACAAUAGUAGUUUUAUCAUUUAUAUUUUAUUUACUAAAUAAUAAAAAAUAUAUACUGGAGCAUUUUUUGUUAACCUUCAUUUGUUGUUUCUCACUCUCUUUUCUUCUCAUGUUGAAAUUUGAUUGUGCAAUUACCUUCCUAUGAUAACAUCAAUCUUUGUGAAAUUGGUUCUUAAAAAGCAAAUUCAAAUUUUAAUUUUGGAAGUGUUUUUACAUAAUAGUGGAGAAUGAUUCUUCAUAUUCAACUUUUAAUUUUGAAUUGUAAUGAACAAUUACUAUUCAAAUACAAAUCUAGUUUAUUUUUAACCUUACAUUUAUUGAAUCUUUAAUGUGUACGUUAAUGAUAUAUAAUAAUUUAUUAAUUAGGUAUUUGAUUUAGUGUAGGGGCAAAAUGGUAAUUCAACUAUACACUUUCGAGUUUUCACUUUUAAUAAGUAAUUAUAAUAUAUACAAAAGAUUAAACCAUUUGAUAUUAAAAAAAUAUAUGUAUGAGUAAUAAUUAACAUUCAAUGGCAAAAGAAUGUAUCACAUUCUCAUAAACAAUAUCUCUAAGGCAAAAGUAGACAUUCUAAUUUGGACAAUUACUACUUAACUACUUAUGGGUUCAGCCAAUAAUCUGGAGAUAGGAGUUUGACAAUUUUUCAGCCAUAGUUAAAAUUCUACAUCAAUAAUAAAUAGCUUCUUAUCACAGUAAAUAGACAUUUGAAUAAUUAAUAUAAAUUGAGCAACACAAACUUUUCAAAAUGACUUAUUCUAGAUAUAUAAUAGGGAAAAGGGUCAAAAUUACCCCUCAGUUUUGUUUUAUUGGUUAACUUUAUCCUUACCAUUAAAAACAAGUUAUUUUUACCCCUGUCGUCAAUAAACUUAACAAAUAUACCCCUCCUUGAACGGAAACCCCCAAAUCAAUUGAAAUUACCCGAUUUUAAUUGAAAUUAUCCAAUUUCUUUUUUAACCCGAACUAGAACCCAACCCACUAAACUAAACAAAUUAACCCAUUUCCAAUCUUCUUCAUCUCAGUGUUCUUGGCUAAGUACCCUAAGAACACUCACAAUCUUUAUCAUAGCUAACACAUAAAUCCUACAUUGUCUGACAAAAUCAAUUGAAAAGGUUCGUUGGUUGAAUGUAUAACAAGUAAAUUAUUUUUGCUGAACAACAUCCCGCCUCUCUCUGUUGUGGGGUUCAGCGAAGAACAAGCCACAGAGCAAGUAAAUGGAAAAGUUUCAAUUUACACAUCAUCAUUCAAUCCAAUGAAGAAAACCAUUUCUAGGUACCAACCAAAUUACUUUUUGAUUUGUUGUCAGUAGGCUGCCCCUAAAUGUGUACCCAAUAGUACAUCUAAUUCUUCUUUACCUGGCUCGUAAAUCAAUUCAGUGGCCCUCCAUGAUUCUUGUAUGUGCACGUAAAAUUAAGCUACAAUGGAGGGGAGGUUUUUCUUUUCUCUAUCUUUUUAUUUGUUCAAAAUGUUUCCAAUAUAUCAUCAUAUUUGAUGAGUACUGGAUAUUUGAUGAUUACUGAUUUCUUGUAUGUAGCAAAUCAUGUGAUUGAACGACUGCAGUGUUUAGCCUAGGCAACCUUCAACAAACAAUUUGGAGAUAAAUAUCAGGUCUUUUCGAUUGAUUUUGUUAGACAAUGUAGAAUUUGUGUUAGCUAUGAUAAAGAUUGUGAGUGUUCUUAGGGUACUUAGCCAUGAACACUGAGAUGAAGAAGAUUGGAAAUGGGUUUAUUUGUUUAGUUUAGUGGGUUGGGUUCUGGUUCAGGUUAAAAAAGAAAUUGGAUAAUUUCAAUUAAAAUUGAAUAAUUUCAAUUGAUUUGGGGAUUUCCGUCCAAGGAGGGAUAUAUUUGUUAAGUUUAUUGACGGCAGGGGUAAAAAUAACUUGCUUUUAACGGUAAGAGUAAAAUCAACCAAUAAAAUAAAGUUGAUGGGUAAUUUUGACCCUUUUCUCUAUAUAACAUAUAUGGACAAUUUGAGGAAUGAAUGUUUCAACACAUGAAUAAUAGACUAAUAAGGUCAAUAGAUUAUACAUAUAAAUGAAAAGUUAAAUAAAAAUACAGCCUCAAAAUCACAUACUAUGAUCCAUCAUUUAUCUCCAAUUCGGUGGCCCAGUUUAUUUUAGGGUAUGGAUUCUUUUAUUUUUAAAAAAAAAACAUAUUUGAUUUUUCUCAUUUAGUUAUUCCUCUCCCUACUCAUAAAUAAUAAUCUCGAAAAAAUAUUUUUACUAAAGUAGAACACUCUAUCAAGAGCCAAAUAAACAUAUCAAAUUAACUAAUUAAUCUUUCAUCAAUUAUUGAUAGAACAUGAAUUGUAUAUCACUACUUUCUUCAUGUAGGAUACAAGAUAUUUCAAUAGAAAAACAAAAUCAUAAGAAAGCAUAUCAAAAUAUAAAAAAAGGACAUAUAAAAUACUUUGGCUGGACAAGGAGGAGCGGAUAAAAACAAAAGGAAAUUACUGCACAUACAAAAUGAUGAGCAAGAUUAGUUUUUUGCAGGAUAGUCUCUCAUCCUCCUCUUAUCAUUUACAUGAAAACCAUGCUAGGCAUUUUAUAGCAAUAGCUAGGAUGACCUUUGAGUAGAUAAUUAAUUUGCAUUAAUUUAGUUUAAUGAUUUUAGUCCAUAUCAAAUUUAUUUAAUGGAAAACUCUUCAAAUACUCUUGAUUUUACAGAAAAAGAGAAAUUGACUAUUAAUGUGAAUUUGAUUCAUGUACCAAUUUAAAUGAGUUUAAUCUAAGGAAGUGAAAAAAUCAUUAACAUUUUUAUUAAAACGAUACAAUUUAAUAUUUAAAUUAAAUAGUUAAAUAUUUUAUAACAUUUUAAUUUAUAAUAGGGGUAAAACGGUAAUUCAACUUUUAACUUUUUUUAUUCCCGCUUAUAGUAAUAUAUGAUACAACUCCUCUUAAUUCCUUUUAUCUAAGUUUUUAAUUAUGUGGUGGAGUAAUAAGUACUUAUUCAUUCUUAAUUAGAGGUUCCAGUUUGAGUCUUUUUGGCUAUAAAAUCAUCUCUGUUAGAGCGCUUUACCCAUAAUCUAAGAUUUUUCGACACAAAUUCAAAUUUAGUGAGGCUCUAAUAUGGAUAUCGAACACUGAGGGGAAAAUAAAAAUAAAAAUUACCUUAGGGGUUAUUUGGUAGGUGGAUAAAGCUACAUCUAAUACAUGAAUAACAAAGUUAUUUAUGUAUUUAAUUUAUAUAAUGUUUGUAUAAAAGUUAUUCAUAUAUUAACAAAGAUGUUUCUCUCUACGAUAUGUUCCCACAGGAGAAAGAGUUUGUUACUUGAAGAGGGGGGGGGGGGAUGUUGNNNNNNNNNNNNNNNNNNNNNNNNNNNNNNNNNNNNNNNNNNNNNNNNNNNNNNNNNNNNNNNNNNNNNNNNNNNNNNNNNNNNNNNNNNGAAGGGGGGGGGGGGGUAUUUGGAGUCUUUUAGCCACAGUUCGAAGCCCUGACAUAUCGAUCUCUUUUAGCCACGGUUCAAGGUCCCAACGUAUUUUGUUUUGCCACGGUUCAAGGUCCCGACGUAUUUUAUUUUGCCACGGUUCGAGGCCCCAUCAUAUCUCUAUUCGCCUUGGUUCGAAUCCUAACAUGUGGUUCAUUUGGGUUCUUCGGGGUGCCUUCACCAAAGUUCAAGUCUAGAGUCAGCCAUUUUAAGUUCUUGAAAGCUUUUAAUAUAACUAGUGUUAUUCAUAGUACUUCUGUGUACUUAUCAGGCUUAUGUGAGUCCAAACUCGUUUGAGUUAUUUACUUUCCAAUUGCGCACAGGUAUACAUACUUUCUGGGCUUAUAGGGGUCCAGUUAGGUUAUAGAUAAUUGUUUUACUUUACUACUUUGUUCUUUCCAGACUCGUGAGCUAUAUAGUUAGACUUUCCGUUAUUACUUUGUUCAUUUGACCUCUAAUUACCGUUACAUUCAUAUUUUUCAUAUUGUUUUUACUUUCCAUGCCCAGUCGACCUAUGAUGCUACUGGGCACCUGUUGUUUUGAUAUUAUGCUACACUCCACAUCUGUUUUCUUGAUGUAGAUUUGAGCGCCAGCUGAUAAUGGUGAUUCGAGCCUAAGAAAUGCGGAGAUCUUCUGAGAUGAAGGGUGAGCUGAUGGCAUCCUAGUUCGACUUAUCUCCAUAUGUAUAUAGUUUUUUAAUGUCUUUUGUAUUCGAGACAAGUCUAUUAAGUUAGUGAAUAGCAUAGGCUCGAAACUAUGACUAGAACAUUGAGUGCAUGACAUGCACAUCUUACUCCUUAUUUUCCCUAUUCGUACCUGUUUUUUUCAUACUUUCUAACUUCACUGGUACAUUAUUCCUUGUUAAGGAAAAUUAUGUAAACAACUAGUUCUUUGAUUGAUACAACUAAUUCACAUUAAAUAAUAACUAGAAUCUUAUUACAUUUUUGAACUGUUAAACUAGAAACAAGAUUUAGGAUAAGGGAACUAUUUAUUAACUUCACUUCUCCUUAUUAGUGUCAAAAGUUUCUCGUUUAGGAAAUAUGAAGUUUUGAAGGACUAAUAGUAUAUUAUCCUUUUUUAAAAUUGAACUCUAUCCAAUGGUUGAUUCUAUUUAUGAAUCAAUUCCUUAGGUGCAUUAUUUCCAUAGGUUUCAACAUUGGUAACAAAAUCUAGCUUUCUCGCUUAAAUUGACAUAUUUCUAUACUUCCCUCAUCUUAUCUAUCACUGAGGCCGCUCCCAUCUUAUCCCUUAUAUCCUUAUUUAUAAUUUUUAUCGCUCCGAGUAUGAACGUGCAUCCACCUCAAUAUAUAUUCACAUCUCUGCAACAUGCAUCUUCUAGACAUGGGACUUGACUGGCCAACUCUCAUUUCCAUACAACAAUUACAUACACACUCUAUAUAAAUACACACAUACAUAUAUUGAUGGAAAAAUCAUCAACAGAUGAAACUUAAGCAAUACUCCCUCCAUCUCAAUUAAUGUGACAGUCGGAAUUUUGUCUUUUAAAUUGUUAAUUAUUGUGAUUUACCAUUUUUCACAUAAUUUUCAAAUACAUAAAUUUUAUAUCAAAAAAACUUAAAGUUUCUGUAUCCGAAUUUACUAUUAAAUUAUAGAAGUUUGAAUCUCAAAAUUUCAACUAAUGCCACAUAAAUUAAAUCAACUCCAACACUCAGAAAAGCUACAAAAGUUCAAACAUAGAAAGUAAAAAAAAAUUUAAAAAAGAAAUAGAAAAAACCUUGAGAUAAUAUGUCUUGCUAAUUUCCUCUUCAGAUGCUAAUUAAAGGACUUACACCAAGAACAUCAUAAUACUCUGUGUCUUUCACCAUUUUCUUUUCUUUUUCCAAAAUCCCUAUUAACAAAAAAUUUACUCUUUUACCUCCUCCAAUACUCUAAUUACCUUUUUUUUCGCGCUUCUAAAAUCUUAAUACAAGAGCGAAAAACCACUUGAGUGUAAGGAAAGGAAACAAGCCAAACGAAAAAAAAAAAAAAAACUCUCAAAAUUAUAUGAUCAAGAAAACUUGCAAGUACAAAAGGAGAAAGAGGAGGGGGUGGGUGGGGUAUGAUGAAAAGAAUGUCUCAGAAUAAGAGAGUGCCCCAACGAGACAAAGCUGCCUUUCCAGUUCUGAUCAACAAAUUAAUUACGGAAAAUCUGUUGCUUGUCGAUACUCUAAAAGCAGUGUAUUUUUGGAAUUAAGAGGAGUUGUAUAAACUAAAAUGACAAAAGAAGUGUAGGAAAGUGAGGAAGUAGUCAACUGUUGAGGUAUUUCAACAACACCACUCAAUCAAUCCAAUAUCUCUUUUUCCAUUUUUACCUUGUCGUAAUUGCGGCACUUCUUCUUCAUCAGCUUAUAAGGUUAGAUUUCUGAUUAUUUUUUUGAAUCUGAAUCUGAAUCUGAAUUUGUGCUAUUUGGGGAUGGAUAUAGGGUUUUGCUGCCAUUGUUUCUGUUUAUGCUAAUUUUUUUUAUUUCUUUCCAUCUUUUACAUUUCAAUAUUGGGUAAGUUAAAAUUGUUUCUUUUCCAAGGAUUUGUAUAUUGAUAUUAGUAGAAAAGGGUAAUUACUGUUUCAUGCUCCUUAAAUUACCUGCAAAAUUGUUCUAUAUGCUAACUUGAUAUGUAGCUCAAAAAUACCUAUUGACUAGUUAAUGAAAAGUCUAGAAAACCACAUGACUACUUCUUUACUAGUCUCCUCUUAUUGACUCUAUUUGGCUGAUUAUUGAUCCGUCCAACCCAUUUCAACCCAAAUCGAAAGAAAAAAUCCAAGAUAGUCCUUUAUUUUUGGCUUUAGAUUCGAAAUCAUCAAUUGAUGCACUAAUAGUCCUCCAAAGUUUUAAGUAUUAGUGCACUUUUAUCUGAUGCUAAUUUGAGAUAUUGAUACACGAAGACUAAGUAUGUAUUAUAUUUUUCCUUUUUUCUUGUUUUUAUUUUAUUCUUUGGUUAUGCUCCAGAUAUAUAGGCAAAGCACAAGAAACUUUUAUUCCGGAAAAACCCAAAGACUUAUAGUCAGCUUAUUAAUUGCUUAUGGAAAAUAGAAGAGAAAGUUAAAGAAUUAGCAAAUUUUGAAUGGUGCACACCAAACAUUGAAGAUGCAGAGCCAAAAAAUAAAACAAGUACAAAUGAAGACUCAUCUGCAAUUGCUAAGAUAAAUCUAACAAUUAAUAUGUUUUGUACCAGAACGUAGACAGUGGAGGUUAUAAAUGGGUGUGUAAAGGAUCAAAACGUUAAUGAGUAAAUGGAUGUUAAUGAAGAGACUAAAAAUGCACUGACACUUGAAACUUAAAGAACUAUUAGUGCACUAUAUAAAAGAAAGGGAAGGGAUGACUUUGAGUCUGAAGCCAAACAUAAGGAACUAUUUUGAAUCUUUUCCAAACAAUGUUAAGCUCAAACACAAUGUUAUAAAAAGGUAAGAUAAGAACUAAUGUCACAAUAUUACAGGUAAAUCGUUUUUUUUUCCUGUUUUUCAAUUUUUAUCACUAUAAUAUUCUGUAUGUCAAACUCUAAGAUCCUCAUCCAUUGGUAUGGUAUAGAAGUAGUGUUCAAUUUGCUCGACUGCAUUAUCCUCACCCUGAGUCUCGUUUCCUCUCUUUAUUGGAACUAGGCUCUCCUUGUAAUUGAAAACCCAACAGCCAGAAAAGAUAAGGUCCAGCUGAAAUCCAAGAUCUGUAACUUGUCUUGUUUCAGGGUUAUAUAGCACUAGCUGUGAAGUUUCUGUGAUCUCGAAAACCAUCUUAUCGUUAUCCCAGAUGUUGUAAGGCCAAUGAGCAUCUAUAUGAGGUUGAAGAGUAAGAACUUUGGACCAAUUUCCCCCUUGUUUCAUUACCCACACAUCGUAUAUGGAUGUCAUUGGUUUGCCAGGGUCACCGGUUAAUAUAGCAAGUGAGCCGCCAUGCAAUGUAAGCUUCCCCCAAUGUUCACUUGGAAUAUCUGGGACUUGCAUCUCCCCAAACUGUUCGCUGCCCAUGUCAAAAGAGUGAAUCGUGUAGAUGUCAUCAAGGCCCAUAGAAAGCCCAUAAUAAACCCCGUUGAGAUAAGUGGCGUCAAGGGGUGCAGAUAAGGUAGAACUGGGAGGGAAUUCAGGAGUAAGGUGUUUCCAUGAAUUGUUGCAUGAGGAAUAGACAUAGGCAUAGACACGAUUAUUAGCACCUUGUCCCGGUUCAUCCCAGAACACUCGAAUCCAUACAACCUUAAAAUCUUGAGUCAACAGGUCAAAUCCCAAUCCGAACUGAUGAUCAUGGUUCGGGAAAAAGGCCUCAAUCUCAAUAGGCGCAGGAGGCAGAGACCUGAACUCUCUAGUGGCAGGAUUCCACAAACCCAAGCAGAUAUCGUCUCCAAACUUCUUCUGCACUAAGAAUAAGCGAUCAACUGGACCAGCAAGACACGUGAAAUCAGUGAUCCUCGGAAGCUGAAGGAGAGUUUUUUGUUCAGGGGUCACACCUGGAACAAUUUCUUCAGGGAGCAAGGAGAAUACAACAGACCUUACGAUGGGGAGUACUUCACAUGCUACUUUCAAGUUGCAAACAAGGAGACGGGCACAAUUGUUCUUGUGAUGAAAAUGUUUUUCUAUGAAACUCGAACUUUUGAUGAGAGCAUACUAGUGCUUGCACACACAUUUGAAACACAAGAGUGAUUCCACUGGCAAUCUCAAUAGAAUAUCAACUACUAGAUCUUUUGGUAAAGGACGGCGACCAUCCAUACUAGUGGAAAUAUAAGUAAAAUGAGACAACUUACAAACAUAUUGAAAGAGAACAGAUCUAGAAACAUGCUUUAAUAGAACACGCAGUGCAACGAAGAAGAUCAAGCAGCAUCAUUACCAUGUGAAACAAAAAAGGGGAAGUUGCACAUUUGAUCACUCAGCCACAAAUAUUUACAUCAGCAAGCCAAUACACAUAUAUUAUGGGUAUACAUAUUUUUAAAAAUAUUUUGACAAUUUCUUGUAGAUCAAUUUGGGAGAAAAGAUCCAAAAUAGUUCCUCAUGUUUGGCUUCAGACUCAAAGGAUGGAGUAAUAAGUACUUAUUCAUUGUUAAUUAGAGUUCUCGGGUUUGAGUCUUUUUGGCUAUGAAGUCAUCUGUGUUAGGGAGCGCUUUACCCACAAUGUGAGAUUAUUCAGCACAAAUUCAAAUUUAGUGGGGGAUCUAAUAUGGAUACCAAACACCGAGUGGAAAACCAAAAAUAAAAAUAAAAAUGACCUUAGGGGUCAUUUGAUAGGUGGAUAAAGCUACAUUUAAUACAUGAAUAACAAAGUUAUUUAUGUAUUUAAUUUAUAUAAUAUUUUGUUUGUAAAAUGUUGUAUAAAAGUUAUUCGUGUAUUAACAAAGAUGUUUAUCUCUACGAUAUGUUCCCGCAGGAGAAAGAGUUUGUUAUUUGAAGAGGGGGGGGGGGUAUUUGGAGUCUUUUAGCCACAGUUCGAAGCCCUGGCGUAUCUCUUUUAGCCACGGUUCAAGGCCCCAACAUAUUUUUUUGGCACGGUUCGAGGCCCCAACAUAUCUCUAUUCGCCUUGGUUUGAAUCCUAACAUGUGGUUCAUUUGGGUUCUUCGGGUGCCUUCGCCAUAAUUCAAGUCUGGAGUCGGCCAUUUCAGUUCUUGAAAGCUUUUAAUCUAGCUAAUGUUAUUCAUAGUACUUCCGUGUACUUAUCGGACUUAUGUGAGUCCAAACUUGUUUGAGUUAUAUAUUUACUUUCUAAUUGUGCACGAGUAUACAUACUUUCUGGGCUUAUAGAGGUCCAAUUAGGUUAUAGAUUAUUGCUUUACUUUACUACUUUGUUCUUUUUAGACUCGUGAGCUAUAUAGUUAGACUUUCCGUUAUUGCUUUGUUCAUUUGACCUCUAAUUAUUGUUACUUUCAUAUUCUUCAUAUUGUUUUUACUUUCCAAGCUCAGUCGACCUAUGAUGCCUACUGGGCACCUGUUGUUCUGAUAUUCAUGCUACACUCCACAUCUGCUUUCUUGAUGUAGAUUUGAGCGCCUGCCGACAACAGUGAUUCGAGCCUAAGUAAUGCGGAGAUCUUCUGAGAUGAAGGGUGACCUAAUGGCGUCCUAGUUCGACUUAUCUCCAUAUGUAUAUAAUUUUUUCCUAUCUUUUGUAUUCGAGACAAGUUUAUUAAGUUAGUCAAUAGCAUAGGCUCGAAACUAUGACUAGAACAUUGAGUGCAUGACAUGCACAUCUUACUCCUUAUUUUCCUUAUUCGUACCUAUUUUUGUUCAUACUUUCUAAAUUUCACUAGUACAUUAUCCCUUGUUAAGGAAAAUUAUGUAUCCAGAAUAGUAAAUGGUCUGAUCCACUUAAGAGUGAAGGCUAGUUCAUUGAUUGAUACAUCUAAAUCACAUUAAAUAAUAUAUAUUACAUUUUUGAACUGUUAAACUAGAAACAAGAUUUAGGAUUUUUCAAGUGGACCAAAAUACAGAUAUUGAUGCAGAGUACUUAAAGUCUGUUGCUUGCCGAUACUCUAAAAGUAGUGUAUUUUUGGAGAAUCUAACAUGAGUGGAGAGUACAUGCGCAACUUAGCUUAAAAUGUGUUGGUCCAAAAGGAAUGCCCCUUGAUACCAUAAACAAAAAAUACCAUGUUUGCUUUUUAUUCAAUAAUAGUACAAAGAUGACUGAUCCAAACAAUUUUAAGCUCAAACACAAUGUUAUAAGGUAAGAAAAGAACUAAUGUCACAAUAUUACAGGUAAAUCGUUUUUUUUCUUCUUCCUGUUUUUCAAUUUUUAUCAGUAUAAUAUUAUGUAUUACAAAUCUUUAAGAUCCUCAUCCAUUGGUAUGGUAUAGAAGAAGUGUUCAAUUUGCUCGACUGCAUUAUCCUCACCCUGAGUCUCGUUUCCUCUCUUUAUUGGAGCUAGGCUCUCCUUGUAAUUGAAAACCCAACAGCCAGCCAUGUUAAGGUCCAGCUGAAAUCCAAGAUCUGUAACUUGUCUUGUUUUAGGGUCAUAUAGCACCAGCUGUGAAGUUUCUGUGAUCUCGAAAACCAUCUUAUCGUUAUCCCAGAUGUUGCGAGGCCAAUGAGCAUCUAUAUGAGGUUGUACAGUUAGAACUUUGGACCAAAUUCCCUCUUGUUUCAAUACCCACACAUCAUAUAUGGAUGUCAUAGGUUUGCCUGGGUCACCGGUUAAUAAAGCAAGUGAGUUGCCACGCAGUGUAAGCGUCCCCCAAUGUUCACUUGGAAUAGCUGGGACUUGCGUCUCCCCAAACUGCUCGCUGUCCAUGUCAAAAGUGCGAAUCGUGUAGAUCUCAUCAAGGCCCGUACAAAGCCAAUAAUAAACACCGUUGAGAUAAGUGGCGUCAAGGGGUGCAGAUAAGGUAGAACUGGAAGGGAAUUCAGGAGUAAGGUGUUUCCAUGAAUUGUUGCAUGAGGAAUAGACACAGGCAUAGACACGAUUAUUAGCACCUUGUCCCAGUUCAUCCCAGAACACUCGAAUCCAUACGACCUUAUAAUCUAGAGUCAACAG